rnacentral:tRNA from 1 species
AUUUAUAUAAUUUAUAAAGAAUAUUGCAUUGAAGCUGCAAACGAGAAUGAGUAGUUCUGUAAAUA